GACCCUACGGGAGGCAGCAGUGAGGAAUAUUGGUCAAUGGGCGCGAGCCUGAACCAGCCAAGUCGCGUGAGGGAUGACGGCCCUACGGGUUGUAAACCUCUUUUGUCGGGGAGCAAAUUCCGUUACGUGUAACGGAGUCGAGAGUACCCGAAGAAGAAGCAUCGGCUAACUCCGUGCCAGCAGCCGCGGUAAUACGGAGGAUGCGAGCGUUAUCCGGAUUUAUUGGGUUUAAAGGGUGCGUAGGCGGACGCUUAAGUCAGCGGUAAAAUUGCGGGGCUCAACCUCGUCGAGCCGUUGAAACUGGG
rnacentral:rRNA from 1 species